UUUCCUACGGGAGGCAGCAGUGGGGAAUAUUGCACAAUGGGGGAAACCCUGAUGCAGCGACGCCGCGUGAGUGAGGAAGUAUUUCGGUAUGUAAAGCUCUAUCAGCAGGGAAGAAAAUGACGGUACCUGACUAAGAAGCCCCGGCUAACUACGUGCCAGCAGCCGCGGUAAUACGUAGGGGGCAAGCGUUAUCCGGAUUUAUUGGGUUUAAAGGGUGCGCAGGCGGCGAGUUAAGUCAGCGGUAAAAUUUCGGGGCUCAACGCCGACGAGCCGUUGAAACUGGCUUGCUAGAGGGGGCGGGAAGG
rnacentral:rRNA from 1 species